rnacentral:rRNA from 1 species
ACAUCCAGCGAACUUGGCAGAGAUGCCUUGGUGCCUUCGGGAACGCUGAGACAGGUGCUGCAUGGCUGUCGUCAGCUCGUGUUGUGAAAUGUUGGGUUAAGUCCCGNAACGAGCGCAACCCUUAUCCUUUGUUGCCAGCGAUUCGGUCGGGAACUCAAAGGAGACUGCCGGUGAUAAACCGGAGGAAGGCGGGGAUGACGUCAAGUCAUCAUGGCCCUUACGAGUAGGGCUACACACGUGCUACAAUGGCGCAUACAAAGAGAAGCGACCUCGCGAGAGCAAGCGGACCUCAUAAAGUGCGUCGUAGUCCGGAUCGGAGUCUGCAACUCGACUCCGUGAAGUCGGAAUCGCUAGUAAUCGUGGAUCAGAAUGCCACGGUGAAUACGUUCCCGGGCCUUGUACACACCGCCCGUCACACCAUGGGAGUGGGUUGCAAAAGAAGUAGGUAGCUUAACCUUCGGGAGGGCGCUUACCACUUUGUGAUUCAUGACUGGGGUGAAGUCGUAACAAGGUAAGCGUAGCGAG